rnacentral:tRNA from 2 species
GGCCCUAUGGUCAAGCGGUUAAGACACCGCCCUUUCACGGCGGUAACCCGGGUUCGAUUCCCGGUAGGGUCACCA